GAUUAGAUAUAAGUAUUAGUGAGGCACCAAAUCCCAUUUAUUCUUGAAUGCUAAGCAGCAGCUGGCCUGGCUGGUACUUGGAUGGGUGACCACCAGGGAGUUCCAGGUGCUGUGGGCU
rnacentral:rRNA from 1 species